rnacentral:rRNA from 1 species
GACGAACGCUGGCGGCGUGCUUAACACAUGCAAGUCGAGCGGUAAGGCCCUUUCGGGGGUACGACGAGCGGCGAACGGGUGAGUAACACGUGGGUGACCUGCCCUCCAGCUCUGGGAUAAGCCCGGGAAACUGGGUCUAAUACCGGAUAUGACUUCAUGACGCAUGUUGUGGAGUGGAAAGCCUUGUGCGGCUGAGGAUGGGCCCGCGGCCUAUCAGCUUGUUGGUGGGGUGAUGGCCUACCAAGGCGACGACGGGUAGCCGGCCUGAGAGGGCGACCGGCCACACUGGGACUGAGAUACGGCCCAGACUCCUACGGGAGGCAGCAGUGGGGAAUCUUGCGCAAUGGGCGAAAGCCUGACGCAGCGACGCCGCGUGAGGGAUGACGGCCU